rnacentral:rRNA from 1 species
AUUGAACGCUGGCGGCAUGCUUUACACAUGCAAGUCGGACGGCAGCACAGAGAAGCUUGCUUCUUGGGUGGCGAGUGGCGAACGGGUGAGUAAUAUAUCGGAACGUACCGAGUAAUGGGGGAUAACUAAUCGACAGAUUAGCUAAUACCGCAUAUUCUCUGAGGAGGAAAGCAGGGGACCUUCGGGGCUUGCGUUAUUCCAGCGGCCGAUAUCGGAUUAGCUAGUUGGUGGGGUAAAGGCCUACCAAGGCGACGAUCAGUAACGGGUCUGAGAGGAUGAUCCGUCACACUGGGACUGAGACACGGCCCAGACUCCUACGGGAGGCAGCAGUGGGGAAUAUUGGACAAUGGGCGCAAGCCUGAUCCAGCCAUGCCGCGUGUCUGAAGAAGGCCUUCGGGUUGUAAAGGACUUUUGGCAGGGAAGAAAAGGCGGUUGCUAAUACCGACAUCUGAUGACGGUACCAGAAGAAUAAGCACCGGCUAACUACGUG